AGCGGAGCUCUCCACCAGGGGGAGAAGGAUGCAUAGACCCUGCAGAAACAGCGCGAGUGCAGCCGUGACUGCGAGCGACCUUACGCACGCCCUGCUCGCACUUCCACGCAUGGACCAGAGCCUUGUGGGUAGGCAGCAUCUCCUGCACUUCUACAGAAGAAAGCAGAAGCCCCGACCAAGCCGUUCCAGGACAAAGUUCCUAGGAACGCGCGCUCCGCCAACUUCAAAACGCAAGGGCGAGCCAGUCAAAAGCUGGAGGCGCUAGGCCGGGCCUCGUACCUGAGGGAGGUGACUCCUCAGCAGACGCUAGACAGAGGUGGUAGCAAAGGGCCCCAGCCCAGAGUUUCCGGCCCUGCGCCGACGGCGGCUCCUCCCCCGUCUCCACGGCAACGCGACCCGCGCCGGAAGCUGCUCUGUCCAGCUUAGUGCGCUCUGUCUUCCAGGAAACAGAGACUUCUCUCUAAGCUCGGCUUCCUACGGUUUUCUUGCCCUGAAGUUUCUGCGCUUCUGAGAAGCGGGUCACUAGUUACAACUCCUGCAUGGGACCGGUGUGAGACGGAAAAGUGUCUCUUUUCAUUGCGUGGUGGCUCACGUCGGUAAUCUCCGCAUCAAACAGCCGAAUCUUUAAAGAGAACUUUCAGAACAAAGUAUGAAGUUUCAUACUAAGAACAGUGAAAACUAGUGGGUGGGUGUCUGAAGACGAAAACCAAGGGGCAGGAGAUAUGACUCACCAGUUAAAUGCACUUUUCAUUCAUCCAGACUCCCAAUACCCACACGGUGGCUCUUAAAACAGCCGUGACUCCCAAGUCGCGCUCCCGUUUGACCUAUAUGCAAGCAAAACAUUCAUACUCAAAAUUUUUAAAAAGAUUAAACCCAAGAAAUAUGGGUUUUGCCCUUUUACAAAUGGUAAUUUUGUAAUCCAAAGAUUUAAAAGCAAUUAUUGGUAACAGUCAUUUGUGGGAGGCUGAGGCAGGGGGAUCCCUGCAGUUAAAGAAAACCUGGCCUAAUGAGUGAAUUCCAGUACCGCCUGAGCUAGAAUGAGACUCAGAAUGGACAAGAAAAGUGUUUAAAUCCAGUCUGCUGAAAUGACAAGAUGGCUCCUGAGUCCUAGGACCUGAGCUCAAUCUCCAGUAUUCCUAUGGCAAAAGAGAACUCGCUCUUAGAAGCCAUCCUUUGACCUCUAGCCACAAGCCAUGACCAUCCAUGCACACAAAAAAUAAAGAUAAUGGG
rnacentral:lncRNA from 1 species